rnacentral:lncRNA from 1 species
GGUCCCUCAGGGAAGCACCAGACUGGUCAAAAUGCACAAGAACAGCUUUUGAAAACAAGGUCUUUGUUGCUGCUUGGCAUCAUCAAAUCACAUCAGGAAUGUGGACCAUCAUUCCCAUGGCUGUCACCUAACUGGUGAAAGGGAAAUGGCUGGAGUGUAAUGGCGCAUCUCGGCUCACCGCAACCUCCUCCUCCCGGGUUCAAGUGAUUCUCC